rnacentral:rRNA from 1 species
UACGUAGGGUGCGAGCGUUGUCCGGAAUUAUUGGGCGUAAAGGGCUCGUAGGCGGUUUGUCGCGUCGGGAGUGAAAACCAGGUGCUUAACACCUGGCUUGCUUUCGAUACGGGCAGACUAGAGGUAUUCAGGGGAGAACGGAAUUCCUGGUGUAGCGGUGAAAUGCGCAGAUAUCAGGAGGAACACCGGUGGCGAAGGCGGUUCUCUGGGCAUAACCUGACGCUGAGGAGCGAAAGUGUGGGGAGCGAACAGG